rnacentral:lncRNA from 1 species
GAGAGAGACAUGCGCAGUGAGUGCCUCCCGUCUCUUCUACCCGAACCCCCCCUCCCCCCCCCAGCAGAGAGACCCCAGCAGCAGCAGCAGCUGAUGAUGAAGAGAGAGGCAGUGGCAGAGGGGGGGCACCUUUUAUUUCUAUUUUUAAAGGGACAGGACACUAAUUUUACCCCACUUCAACCUUGAAUUGAGGGGGGUGGGGGGAAGGCGGCUGAGUUCCUUCCCCCACCCUCCAGCCCUGAGACCUGAGAGGGGGAUUGAGCCUGAGAGAGAAGAAGAAGGAGUUUCUUCUUCUUCGAAAACCCCCAUCCACGACUCCUACCCCCUCACCCCUCCACUAGCCUCCCUCCCGAGCCCCCUCCACCCUCCUCCUCUUUGGCCGUGAGAGGAGGAGAGAAAGAGACCAAAAGCCUCUUAGCAACACAGACCCUUCUCUGCUGCUGCUGCUGCUGCUACUGCUGCUGCUGCUUGGCCCUGGCUGGAGACAUCUCACUACACCCAGGAGCAGCCACUUCCCCAGCUCUCCUCCUCCUUCGCCUCCUCCUCCUCCACUCCCCCCCCUUUAUUACCCUUUGUGUCAUCCUCCACAGCUCCAGGGAAGGCACUCAAAAGUGGGGGGCAGGAAAGAUGCUUAUUGAGGAUGCCAGUUUCUGCAUAUGGGAAGUAGAUAUUGAAGGUUAUAUGGUUUACAGACAAGAUCUUUAAAAUAUAGAUACUCAAGGACCAAGGAAACAAAUAUCAGAAGCCAAGAGCACAGAAUACUUUCUUUCAUCAAUCCAUAGAACCCUGAUACUUCUCUAAUUCCAUCACACACAAAGGAAUGACCACCUUGGCAGAUGGCCACAAAGGAUGUCAACAAUUCUUUGGAGGCAAGCAAUGAAAUAUUUAUACUAUGAGCUUUCUGUUGUUAAGUAUGUAGAAA